CAUAGGUCGGCGCACUCACUCAUGAGUGCACUCACUCACACUCACUCGCACUCAUUUCAAAGCCGUGAGUGCGAGUGAGUGCCAGCGAGUGUGAGUGCAGGUGAGUGCGAGUGCGAGUGAGUGCCAGUGAGUGUGAGUGCAGGUGAGUGCGAGGGCGAGUGAGUGCCUGUGAGUGUGAGUGGAGGUGAGUGCGAGUGAGUGCCAGUGAGUGUGAGCGCAGGUGAGUGCGAGUGCGAGUGAGUGCCUGUGAGUGUGAGUGGAGG